GCUUGUCUCAAAGAUUAAGCCAUGCAUGUCUUAGUGUAAAUAACUCUUAUGAAACUGCGAAUGGCUCAUUAAAUCAGUUAUCAAAUACGUGAUGGUCGCCUACUACAUGGAUAACCGUAGUAAUUCUAGAGCUAAUACAUGCACAAAGGCCCACUCACGUGGGUUGUGAUUAUUAGAUUCAAACCGGCCUCGUUCUGGUGAUUCAUAAUAAUUGGUCGAACCGCAUGCCCUUGUGGUGGCGGUGAUUCAUCCUUAUUUCUGCCCUAUCAACUUUCGAUGUUUGGGUAUUGGCCAAACAUGGUUGCAACGGGUAACGGAGGGUUAGGGCUCGACCCCGGAGAAGGAGCCUGAGAAACGGCUACUACAUCCAAGGAAGGCAGCAGG
rnacentral:rRNA from 1 species